AUGAACGCUGGCGGCGUGCCUAAUACAUGCAAGCCGAGCGAACGGACGAGAAGCUUGCUUCUCUGAUGUUAGCGGCGGACGGGUGAGUAACACGUGGAUAACCUACCUAUAAGACUGGGAUAACUUCGGGAAACCGGAGCUAAUACCGGAUAAUAUUUUGAACCGCAUGGUUCAAAAGUGAAAGACGGUCUUGCUGUCACUUAUAGAUGGAUCCGCGCUGCAUUAGCUAGUUGGUAAGGUAACGGCUUACCAAGGCAACGAUGCAUAGCCGACCUGAGAGGGUGAUCGGCCACACUGGAACUGAGACACGGUCCAGACUCCUACGGGAGGCAGCAGUAGGGAAUCUUCCGCAAUGGGCGAAAGCCUGACGGAGCAACGCCGCGUGAGUGAUGAAGGUCUUCGGAUCGUAAAACUCUGUUAUUAGGGAAGAACAUAUGUGUAAGUAACUGUGCACAUCUUGACGGUACCUAAUCAGAAAGCCACGGCUAACUACGU
rnacentral:rRNA from 1 species